AUGGCGGUGCUUCUAUGCCCGUACGAUGGCUUCAGCAAGACGGAGGAGGUGGAAUUCUUCCACAUCCCCAUCUGGCUGCAGAUUCACAAGCUCCCAGACCCUUACUACAAGCAAAACAUCAUGGAAAAGCUGCUGAAGGAUGCGGGAGAAAUCAUGGAGAUGCGGUUGAACGGGAACACCCGCGGUGACUAUGUUAGGGUUCGGGUGCGACAUGAUAUCCGCAAGCCCCUCACAAAGUACGUCAACAUCCUCCGCGCUAAGGAGCGCCAGAUUUACCUGGUUAGAUAUGAGAAACUUGCUAGAUUUUGUAAGUUCUGUGGUUUGAUUGGUCAUGAUCACAAAGAUUGCGGUCUGGGUAUCCAUGAGGAGAAGGAUCUCAAGUUUGGUGAAUGGAUCUAUGCAGAUGCUCCCAAUAAACCCAGGCAAGAGGAGUGUACUACUAAACCUACUGGAUAUGCGACAAUGAAGGCUGAUGACAAGGUGCCCGGUAGAUCGGAACCUCAGCAUGGUCCCUUUGAUGCCGAAGUGUUGGACACAGCAACGAGCCCGAUCAAGAAAACUAGUGUCAGAACGGAUGGGGUUUUAGUCCCAAAAAGGAGGCUGGACUUGGAGGAGGCAGGGAAGCCACUGGGUGACAGUCCUGGAGUCCCAAAAACAAUGUUGGCCACCACUGAUGGUAAGGAAAUUGCUCCGUAG
rnacentral:rRNA from 1 species